AUUGAACGCUGGCGGCAGGCCUAACACAUGCAAGUCGAGCGAGCGGCGGACGGGUGGGUAAUGUAUGGGGACUGCCCGAUAGAGGGGGAUGACUGCUGGAAACGGUGGCUAAUACCGCAUACUAUCGGAUAACCCAUAGGGGAUUAGCUAGUAGGUGGGGUAAAGGCUCACCUGGGCGACGAUCUAUAGCUGGUCUGAGAGGAUGAUCAGCCACACUGGGACUGAGACACGGCCCAGACUCCGACGGAGGCAGCAGUGGGGAAUAUUGCACAAUGGGCUAAAGCCUGACGCAGCCAUGCCGCGUGAAUGAAGAAGGCCUUAGGGUUGUAAAGUACUUUCAGCGGGGAGGCGUUACCCGAAGAAGAAGCACCGGCUAACUCCGUGCCAGCAGCCGCGGUAAUUC
rnacentral:rRNA from 1 species